AUGGAAGUGAAUCUUUCUGAUCUUUACAUUUCUCUCCCCUCUCUCAAUCUUUACAUUUCUCUCCCCUCUCUCAAUCUUUACAUUUCUCUCCCCUCUCUCAAUCUUUACAUUUCUCUCCCCUCUCUCAAUCUUUACAUUUCUCUCCCCUCUCUAUCUUUACAUUUCUCUCCACUCUCUAUAUCUUUCUAUCUUUACAUUUCUUUCCCCUCACUCAAUCUUUCUAUCUUUACAUUUCUCUCCCCUCUCUCAAUCUUUCAAUCUUUACAUUUCUCUCCCCUCUCUCAAUCUUUACAUUUUCUUCCCCUCUCUCAAUCUUUACAUUUCUCUCCCCUCUCUCAAUCUUUACAUUUCUCUCCCCUCUCUCAAUCUUUACAUUUAUCUCCCCUCUCUCAAUCUUUACAUUUUCUUCCCCUCUCUCAAUCUUUACAUUUCUCUCCCCUCUCUCAAUCUUUACAUUUCUCUCCCCUCUCUCAAUCUUUACAUUUCUCUCCCCUCUCUCAAUCUUUACAUUUCUCUCCCCUCUCUCAAUCUUUACAUUUCUCUCCCCUUUCUCAAUCUUUACAUUUCUCUCCCCUCUCUCAAUCUUUCAAUCUUUACAUUUCUCUCCCCUCUCUCAAUCUUUACAUUUCUCUCCCCUCUCUCAAUCUUUACAUUUCUCUCCCCUCUCUCAAUCUUUACAUUUCUUCCCCCUCUCUCAAUCUCUCAAUCUUUACAUUUCUUCCCCCUCUCUCAAUCUUUACAUUUGUUUCCCCUCUCUCAAUCUUUAUAUUUCUCUCCCCUCUCUCAAUCUUUCAAUCUUUACUUUUCUUUCCCCUCUCUCAAUCUUUACAUUUUCUUCCCCUCUCUCAAUCUUUACAUUUUCUUCCCCUCUCUCAAUCUUUACAUUUCUCUCCCCUCUCUCAAUCUUUCAAUCUUUACAUGUCUUCCCCCUCUCUCAAUCUUUACAUUUCUUUCCCCUCUCUCAAUCUUUACAUUUCUUUCCCCUCUCUCAAUCUUUCAAUCUUUACAUUUCUCUCCCCUCUCUCAAUCUUUCAAUCUUUACAUUUCUAUCCCCUCUCUCAAUCUUUACAUUUCUCUCCCCUCUCUCAAUCUUUACAUUUCUCUCCCCUCUCUCAAUCUUUACAUUUCUCUCCCCUCUCUCAAUCUUUACAUUUAUCUCCCCUCUCUCAAUCUCUCAAUCUUUACAUUUCUUUCCUCUCUCUCAAUCUUUACAUUUCUCUCCCCUCUCUCAAUCUUUACAUUUCUUUCCCCUCUCUCAAUCUUUACAUUUCUUUCGCCUCUCUCAAUCUUUACAUUUCUUUCCCCUCUCUCAAUCUUUACAUUUAUUUUCCCUCUCUCAAUCUUUACAUUUCUUUUCCCUCUCUCACUCUUUACUUCUCUCUCCAGUGCAUUCAGAAAGUAUUCAGACCACAUUAUCCUCGUUUUGUUACAUUACAGCCUUAG
rnacentral:lncRNA from 1 species